GAUGAAGAACGUAGCGAAAUGCGAUAAGUAAUGUGAAUUGCAGAAUUCAGUGAAUCAUCGAAUCUUUGAACGCACCUUGCGCCCUUUGGCUAUUCCGAAGGGCAUGCCUGUUUGAGUAUCAUGAACACCUCAACUCUUCACGGCUUGCCGUGAUGAGUUUGGACUUUGGGGGUCUUGCUGGCCUACGAGCCAGCUCCUCUCAAAUGUAUUAGCUUGCCGGUGUUUGGUGGCAUCACAGGUGUGAUAACUAUCUACGCUUGUGGUUUUCCACUAGGUAACCUUCAGCAAUGGAGGUUCACCGGAGCUCACAAAUGUCUCUCCUUGCCAAGGACAGAUUUUGACCAUUUGAUCUCAAAUCAGGUAGGACUACCCGCUGAACUUAAGCAUAUCAUAAGCGGAGGA
rnacentral:misc_RNA from 1 species